GAGUUUGAUCGUGGCUCAGAUUGAACGCUGGCGGCAGGCCUAACACAUGCAAGUCGAGCGGUAGGGAGAAGCUUGCUUCUCUUGAGAGCGGCGGACGGGUGAGUAAUGCCUAGGAAUCUGCCUGGUAGUGGGGGAUAACGCUCGGAAACGGACGCUAAUACCGCAUACGUCCUACGGGAGAAAGCAGGGGACCUUCGGGCCUUGCGCUAUCAGAUGAGCCUAGGUCGGAUUAGCUAGUUGGUGAGGUAAUGGCUCACCAAGGCGACGAUCCGUAACUGGUCUGAGAGGAUGAUCAGUCACACUGGGACUGAGACACGGUCCAGACUCCUACGGGAGGCAGCAGUGGGGAAUAUUGGACAAUGGGCGAAAGCCUGAUCCAGCCAUGCCGCGUGUGUGAAGAAGGUCUUCGGAUUGUAAAGCACUUUAAGUUGGGAGGAAGGGCAGUAAAUUAAUAACUUUGCUGUUUUGACGUUACCGACAGAAUAAGCACCGGCUAACUACUGUGCCAGCAG
rnacentral:rRNA from 1 species